AUCUUGCUCAAGAUGCCUGUGUACCCUGGGCCUUCCAAAUUGCCUUCAUGCUUAUGUUCAGAGCUCUGCAGUGCCAGCAAAUGAGCAGCUAAGCCAUCGUAUGCAAUCACAUUUCUCCUGAAGAGCAGAUUCAGCUCCAGUCUACUCAAAUGCUCUUACUUGCUAACGUAAACCACAACGCAUGUCUUGUCCUCUGUAAAACAUAUUUCAUCCUCUUUUAAAUAGAGAAUUGAGGAGAAAUAGAACAAAGAGUAUGGACCAUUGCAUAUGAGAAGAUAUUUGGAAGAUACUGCAAUACACUGUCAUUUCUAAAUGUAUUUUCUGGUGGUUUGUUCCUUUGUCUUUAUUUUCUGCCCAUUUUUUUUCCCUAUUUUUCUUUCUUAAUUUCUUUUUUCACCGUGAUCUCUCUUUUGCACUCAAUCCCUCCAUAUCUGAAGUUGAGAUAUUUUCUUUUCUUCUCACUUAGAGUGCUUUGCAUUUUUAUUUUGCCUUAUGCAACUAUUAAAGGUUGAAAAGUGUCUAUCUGUGCUGUAGGUAGCAUGAUCUGUAAAAACUAAGAGAUUCUCUGGCUUUUUAUGAAAGACAGCCCUUCAUUUCAGAGCGUAGUAUACAAUCUUCUUUGGAUAGCUACUGACAAAGGUCAGUGCAAGUUCUCACUUGGGAGUUAACAGCUGUGGUCAUUACAACUUCUGAUAAAGCUCUGGGAUUUCCUUUUUCACUGCCUUGUCUGUACUUGUGUAUAUAUAUGCAGAAUAAAACCAGAGUAGGUUUG
ensembl:lncRNA